UGAGCGACUAAAACACGGUAUAGAUGCUGGUUUCAGCUCUUUCGAAUCAACGUAUUCCUUCAGUCGCUGUGCAUCGUCCUUCCAGUGCAACUGGCCGGUGUCUUGAAUGACGCUUCUUCAAGCCGUAAUUUUUUACGUAUUCACAGGCCUGAAUUAUUGAAACGUUGCUUUCAAGGCUGCGUAAGCGAGCUGUUCUUCAAAGCAGCUCCAUUACAGAAUGGCUACUUUCUCAGUUUCUUCGUCCAAAUCACACGUUCAACUUAUGGUUCAGAAAUUCGAGAUGCAAGGCGGUAGCUCACCUAACGGUGAUCGUCAAACACAACAUGGAAAGCAAAAACCCAAGUUCAAAGUGGACUUGGUGUUUUGGAGACCUCCACCCAGAAGGAAAUGGAAGCUUCGCUCCUCAGCCGGAAAGGGAGAAAGCUCCGAUGCGUUGUCGCGUGCGUUCAAGCACUGGGCCGUGCUGUGUUGCCUUGACAAUGGGGCUUCGUAUGUGGUAGAUGCUGUGCAGGAAAAUGGCGUUCUCAAUGGACGUCUUAAAACCAACGACGCGAAAUGCAAACCACUUGAAAAGGUAAACACGUCAUACAGCGGCUAAUUCGAAACAAUUGGGCUAUUCUGUAGUUUUGCAUACCUGUACGUUCUACACAGGUUUCCGGGUU
rnacentral:lncRNA from 1 species